rnacentral:lncRNA from 1 species
GAGCCCGCCUCCGGGCCUGGGGCGGGAUGUAGAGCGUUGGGCGUGGGGCGCGGAGGCCAAGGUGCGAGCGAGGGGAUCGCGCGAGGGGAUUGCGGAGGGCGCGCUGAGGAUGGAGAGAGUGAUGGAGCAGUUGAACAGCUUCACGCGUUCGCUCAGCCGUGAGCGCACCGUGGAGUUGCCCGAGGAUGAUCAAACUGCUGUUCAUACAUUAAUGCCAAUGGUUAUGGCUGAUCAACACAGGUUACAUGUCUUCUUAGCAAUUCCAUUGGUGGAAGGAUCUGGAUUUACUCCGCAUUCAUCCAACAUCAACCAAGUAACAACCAGGUACCAGGCACACGACUAUUCUAGGAACUGAAGAUGCACAGGCAAACAGGCAAAGCCUCUGUUUUAAUGGACCUUCCUUUUCUACUGCGGAUGAACUGAUGAACAGUGGAGAAUUGGAAAGCAAUUCCAGAAAAUAUUACUCCAGUGGGAAAAACUGACUAGAGUAAUGUAUUACGGGAGGAGCCUGCCAUUGUGGCCUACAGACAACUCCAGCCUACUGCCUGCUUUUAUAUGGCCCAUGAGCUAAGACAAGCUCUUACUCUGAACUCCAAUCCAGUGGAAUGUUAUCUUCCCAAGAAAAUUCCUUUCUUCUCUAGAUCUACAUCAUGAAAAUUACAUUCAGUUCUGUUCUAUUUUUAAUUUCAUUAAAGAAAUUGUGCACAUUUAUUUCUCCUGCUGUCCUCUAUGUACCUACAUAAUACCAUGGCUUUUUCCUCCUGAU